rnacentral:rRNA from 1 species
CCUACGGGAGGCAGCAGUGGGGGAUAUUGCACAAUGGGGGAAACCCUGAUGCAGCGACGCCGCGUGGGUGAAGAAGUAUUUCGGUAUGUAAAGCCCUAUCAGCAGGGAAGAAAGAAGACGGUACCUGACUAAGAAGCCCCGGCUAACUACGUGCCAGCAGCCGCGGUAAUACGUAGGGGGCGAGCGUUAUCCGGAUUCACUGGGUGUAAAGGGAGCGUAGACGGCCGUGCAAGCCAGGAGUGAAAGCCCGGGGCCCAACCCCGGGACUGCUCUUGGAACUGUGCGGCUGGAGUGCGGGAGGGGCAGGCGGAAUUCGUGGUGUAGCGGUGAAAUGCGUAGAUAUCAGGAGGAACACCGGCGGCGAAGGCGGCCUGCUGGACCGCGACUGACGUUGAGGCUCGAAAGCGUGGGGAGCGAACAGGAUUAGAUACCCGAGUAGUC